UCCCCGAUAGAUCUCGGUCGCUGGAAUGCCCCCAAAUCCAAAGCUCCGGCGCCAGAGGAUGGGUCUGCGGCCUAUCAGGUAGUAGUGGGUGUAACGUACCUACUAGCCUACGACGGGUACGGGUUGUGAGAGCAAGAGCCCGGAGAUGGAUUCUGAGACACGAAUCCAGGCCCUACGGGGUGCAGCAGGCGCGAAAACUUUACAAUGCCGGCAACGGCGAUAAGGGGACCUCGAGUGCCAGGUUACAAAUCUGGCUGUCGUGAUGCCUAAAAAGCAUUGCAUAGCACGGGCCGGGCAAGACCGGUGCCACCACCCGCGG
rnacentral:rRNA from 1 species